rnacentral:lncRNA from 10 species
AUGGGAUUACAUGCUUGUAAUCCCAGCUACUUGGGAGGCUGAGGCAGGAGAAUCCUUGAACUCGGGAGGCGGAAGUUGCAGUGAGCCAAGGUUGCGCCAUUGCGCUCCAGCCUGGACAACAAGAGCAAAACUCCAUCUCAAAAAAAAAAAAAAAAAUACACACACACACACACACACACACACACACACACACACAUACAUGUAUACACACACAUACGUUUAUACAUACACAAACGUAUAUAUACACAUACGUAUAUAUACAUGUAUACACACACACACGUAUAUAUAUCUGUAAUUGAUUCAUGGAACAGAGAAAAGGUGGCUGUCAUAUGGAGUGGUGGUAACUGGCCAGGCUCUGGGGCUGGGUAGCCUAAGUCCCAGCUCUGCCACCCACAGUGGAAAGUUAUUUAACUUCUUUGUGUUUUAAUUUGCUUAUAUGUCAAAAGGGGAGAACAGUACCUACCUCUUGAGGUUGUUGUGGGAAUUAAUUAAUAUAUGUAAAACACUUUAACAGUGCCCAGUCCCUAGUAAGAGAUGCACAGACACUUAUACUUGUUCUGAGUUGUGGUAGUGGUAUUUAGCAAAAUAAUAGGGCCAGAAAUCAGGAAUUAAGGAGGAGAUCUUAACUGGGCUUCUUUUCCCUCCUGUUUUUGUGGUUUAUAUCCCUGCGGUGCUCCUUGGCAGAUAAAUACGACCUUAAUUUUCUACGUACUACCCCCAGAAUGCUGGAGGCAUCCUCUGUUGUUUUGUGCCCCUUACCAAAUUCUGGCCGUGUCUGCUUCAACUGAGAGCAUGACACUCCUUGGUGUUGAAACGUUGCAGGAGUCCUCUUCUGGUUGGUGCCAGCAUGUCAUGAAGCAGUAUCUGUAAACCAGGCCUUAGUUUUUUUCCUCUUAGCUGAUGAAGAAGAAUCCUCUCAUGAGACCAUAGGCAUGGACUGAAGGAGAGGCAGCAAGACCUCAGGAGUAAGUGUUGUAAGAUAUUGAGUCACUUGC